UGUCAAUAAUGGCUUUAUCAUAUGUGAGCCGCACAAUUGUGGUCCCUUGCAGUGUAGGGUUCGAAACCUGUUCCAUUUCAUGGCCAGCCCUUUGCCAUAUCAUCAAUUGCUUUUUCCAUAUACCUUCUACCAUUGCAUAGGAGUAGCCGUACUUAUAUCCUAGUUGAUGGAUGUAUCUAUGUUCAUUCUCUUUGUCGGCCCAUGUUGUUAUGUGUGUGAAUGCUCUUACAGUCAUAGCCCGAAGGGCCGCCAGUUUAUAUACCAUGGGAUCUGCCGACCAUGCUGGAAUGGUGACUGGAACAUGAGUGGGCUUCCUAUAUAUAUUUGUUGUGUGCUCCCCUCUUUCUGUCCUGAUGGGUGCGUCCGGGAGGUGGAGGUGAUCUGUGGCUCUUUGCUCGGCUCUGGUGGACAGUCCGGGGCCG
rnacentral:lncRNA from 1 species